rnacentral:rRNA from 1 species
CCUACGGGAGGCAGCAGUGGGGAAUAUUGGGCAAUGGGCGCAAGCCUGACCCAGCAACGCCGCGUGAAGGAAGAAGGCUUUCGGGUUGUAAACUUCUUUUCGCAGGGACGAAGCAAGUGACGGUACCUGAGGAAUAAGCCACGGCUAACUACGUGCCAGCAGCCGCCGUAAUACGUAGGUGGCAAGCGUUAUCUGGAUUUACUGGGUGUAAAGGGCGUGUAGGCGGGAAAGCAAGUCAGAUGUGAAAACCAUGGGCUCAACGUGUGGCAUGCAGUUGAAACUGUUUAACUUGAGUACUGGAGAGGCAGACGGAAUGCCUGGUGUAGCGGUGAAAUGCGUAGAUAUUAGGAGGAACAUCAGUGGCGAAGGCGGUUAGCUGGACCGCAACUGACGCUGAGGCGCGAAAGCGUGGGGAGCAAACAGGAUUAGAUACCCUAGUAGUC